rnacentral:lncRNA from 1 species
AAUUACAAGUCCAACUUCUGAAGGGAAAGAGUGAUGAUGGUUUAGAAGUGACCCAGGGGAGCAAGAAAUAUUUUUCAUACCUCUUUACUCAUGAGAAUAAAAUAAUAGAGGAAGGCAGCUCUUUCAAAUAAGAAGAAUGUGUAUGAAAAUGUAUUUGGGAAAAAAUUUUGUUUCCUGUAAGGAGAGAAGAUGGAAGUAGCACAAUAUCAGAAAAAAAAGAAUUUUUUUUUUUUUAGUUUUUGAAAACAUGACUUACUUUGUUGAGCAAAGAAUGAUA